rnacentral:tRNA from 1 species
GGGCGUAUAGCUCAGUUGGAACGAGCAUCGGCUUUACAAGCCGGGAGUCACUGGUUCGAUCCCAGUUACGCCCACCA